GAGGGUGUAGGUCAGUGGUACAGUGCAUGCCUAGCAUGCAUGAAGUCCUGGGUUCAAUCUCUAGCACCUCCA
rnacentral:tRNA from 1 species